rnacentral:rRNA from 1 species
CAGUAGCCACGGUAAUACGAAGGGUGCAAGCGUUACUCGGAAUUACUGGGCGUAAAGCGUGUGUAGGUGGUUGUUUAAGUCUGUCGUGAAAGCCCUGGGCUCAACCUGGGAAUUGCGAUGGAUACUGGGCGACUAGAGUGCGGUAGAGGAUAGUGGAAUUCCGCGUGUAGCAGUGAAAUGCGUAGAUAUGCGGAGGAACACCGAUGGCGAAGGCAGCCCCCUGGGCCAACACUGACGCUCAUGCACGAAAGCGUGGGGAGCAAACAGGAUUAGAUACCCCCGUAGUCCCUGUCUCUUAUAA